GUUUUUAGUCUGGCUCAGAUUGAACGCUGGCGGGAUGCUUUACAUGCAAGUCGAACGGCGGCACGGACUUCGGUCUGGUGGCGGUAGCGAACGGGUGAUAAUGUAUCGGAACGUGCCUAAUGGCGGGGAUAACUACGCGAAAACAUGUGCUCCACCACGCCCGCCCUUCAGGAAAGCAGGAGACCUUCGGGCCUCGCACUAUUAGAGCGGCCGAUAUCAAUUAGCUAGUUGGUGGGGUAACGUCCGCAAGGCGACGAUCCGUAGCUGGUUUGAGAGGACGACCAGCCACACUGGGACUGAGACACGGCCCAGACUCUACAGGAGGCAAGUGGGGAAUUUUGGACAAUGGGGAAACCCUGAUCCAGCCAUCCCCGCGUGUGCGAUGAAGGCCUUCGGGUUGUGCUUUUGGCGGGAAAGAAACGGCACGGGAUAAUACCCCGUGCAACUGACGGUACCUGCAGAAUAAGCACCAAAGCUAACUACGUGCCAGCAACCGCGGUAAUACGUAGGGUGCAGCGUUAAUCAGGUUACUGGGCGUAAAGCGUGCGCGGUUCGGAAGAAGAUGCUGAAAUCCCAGAGCUUAACUUUUGGAACUGCAUUUUUAACUACCGAGCUAGAGAGUGUGGGAGGAGGUGGGAUUCCGCGAUGUAGCAGUGAAAUGCGUAGAUAUGCCCGGAGGAGCACCGAUGGCGAAGGCAACCUGGGAUAACACUGACGCUCAUGCACGAAAGCGUGGGGAGCAAACGGGAUUAGAUACCCUGGUAGUCCACGCCUAAACGAUGUCAACUAGCUGUUGGGGCCUUCGGGCCUUGGUAACAGCUAACGCGUGAAGUUGACCGCCUGCCGGGGAGUACGGUCGCGAGAUUAAAACUCAAAGGAAUUGACGGGGACCGCACAAGCGGUGGAUGAUGUGGUUAAUUCGAUGCAACGCGAAAAACCUUACCUACCCUUGACAUGUCUGGAAUCCCGAAGAGAUUUGAGAGUGCUCGCAAGAGAAGCAGAACUGGUACUGCAUAGCUGUCGUAGCUCGUGUCGUGAGAUGUUAGGUUAAGUCCCGCAGCAGGCGCAACCCUUGUCAUUAGUUGCUACGAAGGGCACUCUGGCCGGACUGCCACGGUGACAAACCGGAGGAAGGUGGGGAUGACGUCAAGUCACCUCCAUGGCCCUUAUGGGUAGGGCUUUACGUCCAUACAAUGGUCGAGACAGAGGUCCUUAACCCCGCGAGGAGGCCAAUCCCGGCUUGAUCAUGCGUCCGGAUCGCGGUCUGCAACUCGACUGCGUGAAGUCGAAUCGCUAGUAAUCGCGGAUCAGCAUGUCGCGGUGAAUACGUUCCGGGUCUUGUACACACCGCCCGUCACACCAUGGGAGUGGGUUUACCAGAAGUAGUUAGCCUAACCGUAAGGAGGGCGAUUACCACGGUAGGAUUCAUGACUGGGGUAAAGUCGUAACAAGGUAG
rnacentral:rRNA from 1 species